rnacentral:rRNA from 1 species
GGGUUGUGAGGUUAAGCGACUAAGCGUACACGGUGGAUGCCCUAGCAGUCAGAGGCGAUGAAGGACGUGCUAAUCUGCGAUAAGCGUCGGUAAGGUGAUAUGAACCGUUAUAACCGGCGAUUUCCGAAUGGGGAAACCCAGUGUGAUUCG